rnacentral:rRNA from 1 species
GACGAACGCUGGCGGCGUGCUUAACACAUGCAAGUCGAACGGAAAGGCCCUGCUUUUGUGGGGUUCUCGAUUGGCGAACGGGUGAGUAACACGUGAGUAACCUGCCCUUGACUUUGGGAUAACUUCAGGAAACUGGGGCUAAUACCGGAUAGGAUCUCCUGCUGCAUGGUGGUGGUUGGAAAGGUUCGGCGGUUGGGGAUGGACUCGCUGGUUAUCAGCUUGUUGGUGGGGUAGUGGCUUACCAAGGCUUUGACGGGUAGCCUGCCUGAGAGGGUGGACGGCCACAUUGGGACUGAGAUACGGCCCAGACUCCUACGGGAGGCAGCAGUGGGGAAUAUUGCACAAUGGGCGGAAGCCAGAUGCAGCAACGCCGCGUGCGGGAUGACGGCCUUCGGGUUGAAAACCGAUUUCGCCUGUGACGAAGCGUGAGUGACGGUAAUGGGUAAAGAAGCACCGGCUAACUACGUG